GGAGGACCAUCUCCUAAGGCUAAAUACUCUCUAGUGACCGAUAGUGAACCAGUACCGUGAGGGAAAGGUGAAAAGCACCCCGGAAGGGGAGUGAAAUAGAACCUGAAACCGUGUGCUUACAAGUAGUCAGAGCCCGUUAAUGGGUGAUGGCGUGCCUUUUGUAGAAUGAACCGGCGAGUUACGAUUUGAUGCAAGGUUAAGCAGUAAAUGUGGAGCCGUAGCGAAAGCGAGUCUGAAUAGGGCGUUUAGUAUUUGGUCGUAGACCCGAAACCAGGUGAUCUACCCUUGGUCAGGUUGAAGUUCAGGUAACACUGAAUGGAGGACCGAACCGACUUACGUUGAAAAGUGAGCGGAUGAACUGAGGGUAGCGGAGAAAUUCCAAUCGAACCUGGAGAUAGCUGGUUCUCUCCGAAAUAGCUUUAGGGCUAGCCUCAAGUGAUGAUUAUUGGAGGUAGAGCACUGUUUGGACGAGGGGCCCCUCUCGGGUUACCGAAUUCAGACAAACUCCGAAUGCCAAUUAAUUUAACUUGGGAGUCAGAACAUGGGUGAUAAGGUCCGUGUUCGAAAGGGAAACAGCCCAGACCACCAGCUAAGGUCCCAAAAUAUAUGUUAAGUGGAAAAGGAUGUGGCGUUGCCCAGACAACUAGGAUGUUGGCUUAGAAGCAGCCAUCAUUUAAAGAGUGCGUAAUAGCUCACUAGUCGAGUGACACUGCGCCGAAAAUGUACCGGGGCUAAACAUAUUACCGAAGCUGUGGAUUGUCCUUUGGACAAUGGUAGGAGAGCGUUCUAAGGGCGUUGAAGCAUGAUCGUAAGGACAUGUGGAGCGCUUAGAAGUGAGAAUGCCGGUGUGAGUAGCGAAAGACGGGUGAGAAUCCCGUCCACCGAUUGACUAAGGUUUCCAGAGGAAGGCUCGUCCGCUCUGGGUUAGUCGGGUCCUAAGCUGAGGCCGACAGGCGUAGGCGAUGGAUAACAGGUUGAUAUUCCUGUACCACCUAUAAUCGUUUUAAUCGAUGGGGGGACGCAGUAGGAUAGGCGAAGCGUGCGAUUGGAUUGCACGUCUAAGCAGUAAGGCUGAGUAUUAGGCAAAUCCGGUACUCGUUAAGGCUGAGCUGUGAUGGGGAGAAGACAUUGUGUCUUCGAGUCGUUGAUUUCACACUGCCGAGAAAAGCCUCUAGAUAGAAAAUAGGUGCCCGUACCGCAAACCGACACAGGUAGUCAAGAUGAGAAUUCUAAGGUGAGCGAGCGAACUCUCGUUAAGGAACUCGGCAAAAUGACCCCGUAACUUCGGGAGAAGGGGUGCUCUUUAGGGUUAACGCCCAGAAGAGCCGCAGUGAAUAGGCCCAAGCGACUGUUUAUCAAAAACACAGGUCUCUGCUAAACCGUAAGGUGAUGUAUAGGGGCUGACGCCUGCCCGGUGCUGGAAGGUUAAGAGGAGUGGUUAGCUUCUGCGAAGCUACGAAUCGAAGCCCCAGUAAACGGCGGCCGUAACUAUAACGGUCCUAAGGUAGCGAAAUUCCUUGUCGGGUAAGUUCCGACCCGCACGAAAGGCGUAACGAUUUGGGCACUGUCUCAACGAGAGACUCGGUGAAAUCAUAGUACCUGUGAAGAUGCAGGUUACCCGCGACAGGACGGAAAGACCCCGUGGAGCUUUACUGUAGCCUGAUAUUGAAAUUCGGCACAGCUUGUACAGGAUAGGUAGGAGCCUUU
rnacentral:rRNA from 1 species